rnacentral:lncRNA from 1 species
AGAAGCAAUUCAGUUGGAUUUCUUUAGCUAGCUAUUUCAUUUUGUAAACAUAAAUAUUUGCAACUUUUGAGUCAUUAAUUGAGUUGCAAUUAGAGGACUAACUUUGUUGUGCCAUGGCAGGUCCUAGAACACCACCAUAUUAUAGCCCAACUUACAAGCCCAAUGCAGCCAACUUUCCUUCUUCUCCUUACUCAAUAAGAAUUAAUGUUUAUACAUUGGCUAUAGCCAUUACAUUCCUUUGCUCUAUCACUUAUCUCUUUGGCAGAGGCUCCAUUUCCACCUCUCCUGUUUCCAAUGUUGCAGCUACCAUCCCCUGCAUUCCCUUGAAAAUAACAUCCACUUCUGCCGCUUCCAAUAAUUCCAAAAUAUCAUCAUCUUCUUCGUCUACAUCGUCACAACUAGACUUCAGCACCAACCAAGGUGACGACGAAGGUGAAGGCGUUGUGCCUGAUGAUAGUGUCAAAGUUUAUCCGGCAUGUGACAUUAAGUAUAGCGAGUAUACUCCUUGCGAAGAUCCUCAAAGAUCGUUGAAGUUCAAGAGAGACAGAUUGAUUUAUAGGGAGAGGCAUUGCCCUGACAAGAGCCAAUUGUUAAAAUGCCGUAUCCCUGCGCCUUAUGGUUACAAGAAGCCGUUCAAGUGGCCUAAGAGCAGGGAUUUGGCGUGGUACGCCAAUGUGCCCCACAAGGAAUUGACGGUGGAGAAGGCCGUUCAGAAUUGGAUCCGAAAAGAAGGAGACAAGUUUAGAUUCCCCGGUGGAGGGACUAUGUUUCCAAAUGGUGCUGAUGCAUAUGUUGACGACAUUGACAAGUUGAUCAAUCUUAAAGAUGGUUCCAUUAGGACUGCUAUUGAUACCGGCUGUGGGGUAAUUUACCAAUUUUUCUCAAUGGCUAGAGGAAUUUUAGGAUCCCAUUUAGCGACGUUUAUCUAAAGAAGUUGUGACAACCUAUAUAUGCAGGUGGCGAGCUGGGGAGCUUAUCUUUUGUCGCGUGAUAUACUAGCAAUGUCAUUUGCACCUAGGGAUACACAUGAAGCGCAGGUUCAAUUUGCUCUUGAGCGAGGCGUUCCUGCUUUAAUUGGAGUGCUCGCAUCCAAGAGACUUCCCUAUCCAUCUAGAGCUUUUGACAUGGCUCAUUGCUCUCGUUGCCUUAUUCCCUGGGACCAGUAUGGUACGUAUAAUUGAUUAAGUAAAUAAAAGUGUGUUAUUUUUUAAUGUGAUGGUCACACAAUUCAAUAAUUCUUUCACAUGAAUAUAAGUUUGGUUUUACAUAUUAAACUAAGUUUAUUUGCUUGGUGGAUCAGAUGGUGAAUACUUAAUGGAAGUUGAUAGAGUGCUGAGACCUGGUGGAUAUUGGAUACUCUCUGGCCCACCAAUCCGUUGGAGGAAAUAUUGGAAAGGUUGGGAAAGAACCAGGGAUGACCUAAAUGGGGAACAAACCAGAAUAGAGGAGGUAGCUAAGAAACUUUGUUGGAAAAAGUUUGUUGAAAAGGAUGACAUUGCAAUUUGGCAGAAGCCUUACAAUCAUUUCCAAUGCAAAGAACAAAAGAAGAAGUUAAUGUGUCCUGCCCAAGAUCCUGAUAAAGCCUGGUUUGUGCUUUUUAACUCCUCACAGUUUUAAUAUCUUAGCUACUAUUCGUUCUGUUUUAUUUUACAUGCACGACGUUCAAGAAUAAAAAGAAGACUUUUGGUAGAACAUGUUCUGAAAUAGAUUCAAAAGGAAAAAGAGUCAUAUAAAAUGGAACAGAGGGAGUGUCAGGUUAUACAUGGAUUUCUGUUAGCAUUAAUCUUGUUUCGUGUUAAAUUCAUCAUUUGCAGGUAUACGGAGCUUUCGACUUGUGUAACUCCGUUGCCUGAAGUUUCAAGUGAAGAAGAGGUGGCUGGUGGACAAUUAGAAAAAUGGCCUAAAAGAUUACACGCAAUACCACCUAGGAUUAGCAGUGGAACUGUUAAUGGUGUUACGGCUGAAUCUUUUGAGAAGGAUUCACAGCUAUGGCAAAAAAGAGUUUCAUAUUACAAGAGCGUAGAUAAUAAGCUCAACCAACCAGGGAGAUACAGAAAUCUAUUAGAUAUGAAUGCUUACUUAGGUGGUUUUGCUGCUAGUUGGAUUGAUGACCUUGUUUGGGUAAUGAAUGUUGUUCCUGUUGAGGCUGAGGUCAAUACACUUGGUGUCAUUUAUGAACGAGGAUUGGUUGGAACAUAUCAAAACUGGUAAGUUAUUCCUAUGUCCUUCUGUACAAUCAAACAAUUCCUCAUAUGAUUUUUUUCUUGAAUUCGAAUAAAAAAAGUUCGACUUGCUCCCCUUUAUUAAGUAAUGGGCUAAGGGCGAACCCCUAACCUAAGAGUUUUGUUAUGACCAGCCGAAGACAUACCGUCUAGAUGCCUUAAAAUCGUCCUUUUAACCUAUUCCCACUUAUGCAUACUUUAUGGCUGAUAGGCCUACAGACGUUUGUUCCCUCCUGCCUCACCCUCCCCCCACCCCCACCAAAGCCUCUAGCGUCUAUGUUCUUUAGGUACUUGUAGUUGAACGGGUGGGAUAAGGUUGAGUAUUUAGUGAAUUCUUUAAAAUACACUUAAGACUUAUCGAAUAUGUACCUGUUAACAAUAUCAAGAUAUAUACCUGUUAACGACUCAUGUAACUUAGUCUAGCAUUGAGGCUUUGGUAUAUUUGUAUUUAAAAUAAAUUUUUAUUGUAGGUGUGAAGCCAUGUCAACUUACCCAAGAACAUACGAUCUUAUUCAUGCUGAUUCAAUAUUUACCAUGUACAAAGACAGGUAACUAAGUUCUACUAUUAUUUUAAGUUGUAUAUAUCUUAUUUCCCAUACAAAGCCUGCAAUGUAAAUGUGAAUUCUGAGUGUGUGGUUUUCAUAUCAUAUGUAGAUGUGAAAUGGAGGACAUAUUACUAGAAAUGGAUAGGAUAUUAAGGCCAGAAGGAAGUGUAAUAAUUCGAGAAGACGUAGAUAUAUUGGUGGAAGUAAAGAAGAUAGCAGAUGGGCUGAAAUGGGAUACCCUAAUUGUGGAUCAUGAAGAUGGGCCAAUGGAGAGAGAGAAGCUUCUCUUUGCAGUCAAGUCUUAUUGGACUGCUCCAGCUACUCAAGAUUCUAAUAACACCUCCGCCAACCCAAGGAUGAUCUAAUUUCUCAAUCCCAAUUUUGUCUCUAAUUGUUUAAAUUUUGUAUAGGCUAGUCUGUGUAAGCUUUUAAGAGUUUGUAAACCAAUUCUAUUUGUCCCUUGAUAUGACUAAUAGAUUUGUUUAGCUUAAAAAGUACCUAUCGAACUCUUAUUUGGUUUUUCAAUUCUUU